GGGGCUGUGGCGCAGAGGAAGCGCAUCUGGCUGGCAGCCAGGAGGUCGUGGGUUCAAAUCCCACCAGCUCCACCA
rnacentral:tRNA from 1 species